UUUGUGCUGUGUUUUGUUUU
rnacentral:miRNA from 1 species